GUUGUAAAUAUUAAAGUUAUAUGAUUAAAAUAUAUCCUACAUGUAUAUAUAAAGAUUUGUAAAUAAAGAUUAUUUAUUCAGUAUUGUAAAUGCACAUUGAGAGAAAACAUCGUUUACGAUAAUGCCGAAAUCUAAACUUAGUCACUGCCAUAGACUAGAAAUAGUAUCUCUAUUCCGUCAGAAUUGGAAAGUCAGCGCGAUAGUCCGGUAUUUAGGAGAUCAACAUGGUAUAAACGUUGACUGGUGUACUGUUAAAAAGGUUAUACUAAAGUACAAAUCAGGAGAUCUUUUUGCUGAAUCAAUCUUUAUCAAAUUUAGAAAAGUUUCUGAUUCCGAUAUUUUAACAGUCAAAACCGCUCUUUCUGAAAAUUGUACCACGACUGCAACAGACAUUCAGCGCCAACUCCAAAAAACCGGGACUUCCUUAUCAAAGACCACAAUACAUAGAGUAAUCAAGGAAGCUGGCUACACUGCAAGUGCACCUCGUUAUUGUCAAAUGAUCCGCGAAGUCAACAAAGUCAAACGCGUAGAUUUCUGUAAACAGCUUGUGUUAGAUAAUGACAAUUUUAAUGAUAUUGUAUUCACCGACGAAUGCACAGUGCAACUUCAUGAUAACAAAGUUGUUGUUUAUCGUUUAAGAAAUGAAUCUGCUACACCAAUUCCACAACCGAAGCAUCCAUUAAAAGUGCAUGUAUGGGGAGGUAUUAGUCGUAGGGGAACCACACGUCUUCUGAUUUUCGACGGGAUUCUUAAGUCCGAUUUUUUCGUUGAAAACAUUUUAGAAAAGACUCUUCUGCCUUUUAUACAAAUCUGUUUAUCCAGAUGGUCACCGUUUUCAACAAGACAACGACCCAAAACAUCGCUCCAAGCUUGCCAAAAGUUUCAUGAUCGACAAUGGCAUUCAGUGGUGGGACUGCUGGCCCUCCGAAUCUCCCGAUAUCAACCCAAUUGA
rnacentral:sRNA from 1 species